GCCGAGGUGGUGGAAUUGGUAAACACGCUACCUUGAGGUGGUAGUGCCGUAAGGCUUACGGGUUCAAAUCCCGUCCUCGGUAC
rnacentral:tRNA from 1 species